GCGUUGAAUUUACGACAUAUUUUUAUGAAUAAGAAUCUUUUUAUCUAAUCAACCUGUUUUCGCUAUGAAAAGAUUGUUUUUGCCAAGAUUGUUCUUUCACUUUCGUGCAAUUUAUUUUGAUUUUGAGAUGGUCCCUAUAAAGCUUUAAUCAUACCUGGGGUUUACAUUUGCACAAUCACGGUUGUUUUUGCCUUUUAAUAUUGCAUUGUGGGAUCGCGCACAGCUAUCAAUUUACCUGUUUACCGACAUUGAAAGUGGAUGAAAAUAUGGCUGGAAAGGGUAAGUAAUUACAAAUCGUUCUAAAGAUUUUUAUAAAAGGAAUUAUGCACAAUUUUGAUAUUUUGCCAAUUGUAUUAGUUUCCUUGUAUAUAAUGUUAAAAUAGUGAAUCAUUGGUCAUAGAAUGGCAUUUUUUAUAUUGAUUUACAAAUUUGUGACAUAAUUUCAACAUAAAAAUAAAUGGCAAGUUUUCAAUUUCUAUUAGGUAUUUUAUAUAUAUUUUUCAGGUGUUGUCUUAAUGAAAAAUCCUAUUAUAAAAAAGUGAAUGACAAGUUUACCUGCCCAAAAUGUGGGAACAUAUUUACACCAACAACAGCUGGACAUGCUGUUGUUUUAAAGACACUUAUCCAGUGCAGAAACUCACUAUCUUUACACCACAACUCAAAGUUUUGUUGGAAUCAGCUACUAUCCCAGUGAACAGAACAAAUUUAAAUGAAGCAAUAUCUUCUUUAAAGAAAAAGCUGCCAUUAAAAGUGUUCUUCCAAAAUGAAGGGG
rnacentral:lncRNA from 1 species